rnacentral:lncRNA from 1 species
CUCCUAAGGCAGGAGGAGGGUCUGGCGGAGGAGGGAGCUGGGUGGAGCGGAAGCUUUCCAAGGUGUGUGUGUUGGGGGUGAGGGCCAAGGAACAGCUGCGGGACCUAGCAAAAGUUAAGUUGGUGGUGGUGUUAUCGGACACGGUUUUAGGAGAAAGUCGGAAGAAGCCAGACCAUCUAAGCCCCGGGACAAGGCUGGUGUCAGUUCCAGGCUGUCCCAGAAUUGAAGACAGCACUCUCUGGCUCCGUAUGCAGGACUUUAGGAACUGUUUUGCCAGUGUGUUCUGGGACUUUGCAAUUAACAGAUCAUGCCCUCUUCCCCAGCCAACCUGCCACAUCCUAAUCUCCUGCCUCAAAGGGAAGCCCCAAGGAGAAGGUGGUUGAUUGUCUGCAAGCCAGGACACCAACCCAUGCCUAUCAGCACCUUGAUCACGGGCUUCUAACCUCCACAGCCGUAAGAAAAGAAGUGUCUGUCAUUUAAGCCACCAAGUCUAGGGUGUUUGAAUCCAGCAGCUGGAGUCGACACACGGACACACUCAAGCACAAACACAU